rfam:Ovis aries breed Texel chromosome 1, whole genome shotgun sequence.
UCCCUGAUAGCUCAGUUGGUAAAGAAUCUGCCUGCAAUGCAGGACAUCCUGGUUCGAUUCCUGGGUGGGGAA